CUGGCACACUCAUAGGUCCUCCUCUAGGCAGUGGGGCCAGGGUUUGGUAACUGGUGCUGAGAGAAAAUCCUUGAUCACAUCCUUGCCAUGGGAUUGUACCAGAAGCAGUUGUCACUCAUUGGGACAGAG
rnacentral:snoRNA from 1 species